ACACACCGCCCGUCACUCUCCCCUAGUCUAAAGAAAUUUACACUUAACAAUAAAUGUCGCAGCAAAGGGGAGGCAAGUCGUAACAUGGUAAGUGUACCGGAAGGUGUACUUGGAUAAAUCAAAGUGUAGCUAAAUGAAAAGUAUCUCUCUUAC
rnacentral:rRNA from 1 species